rnacentral:tRNA from 1 species
AGAUAUAUGGCUCAGUGGUUAGAGCUUAGGUCUUGAGACUGGAAGGUCCCGGGUUCGAAUCCCGCCAGAGGCUG